GAUGAACGCUGGCGGCAUGCCUAAUACAUGCAAGUCGAGCGAACAGACGAGGAGCUUUCUCCUCUGACUUUAGCGGCGGACGGGGGAGUAAAACGUGGAUAACCUACCUAUAAGACUGGGAUAACUUCGGGAAACCGGAGCUAAUACCGGAUAAUAUAUUUAACCGCAUGGUUCAAUAGUGAAAGACGGUUUUGCUGUCACUUAUAGAUGGAUCCGCGCCGCAUUAGCUAGUUGGUAAGGUAACGGCUUACCAAGGCAACGAUGCGUAGCCGACCUGAGAGGGUGAUCAGCCACACUGGAACUGAGACACGGUCCAGACUCCUACGGGAGGCAGCAGUAGGGAAUCUUCCGCAAUGGGCGAAAGCUUGACGGAGCAACGCCGCGUGAGUGAUGAAGGUCUUCGGAUCGUAAAACUCUGUUAUUAGGGAAGAACAAAUGUGUAAGUAACUAUGCACGUCUUGACGGUACCUAAUCAGAAAGCCACGGCUAACUACGUG
rnacentral:rRNA from 1 species